GCCGCAGCGGAAGCAGCAGCCCCUACGAUGGAAGCGGCGGGCGGCGUACCGGAAAGCGGCAAUGCUUCACCAGCCCAAGGUGGAGAAGGAGCUCCUGUGGCAGAAGAAGGAUCACCAGCCGCCGAGGAAGGAGCAGCAGUGCCACAAGCAGCCACCGAUACGGCACUAGCGGCCGAUGGAGCUAUCCCUGAAGCAGCACCGGAGGUAUCAGCUUCCGCUGUAGGCAGCUGCACCUGAGGUGGUGGCCGCAGCGGAAGCAGCAGCCCCUACGAUGGAAGCUGCGGGCGGCGCACCGGAAAGCGGCAAUGCUUCACCAGCCCAAGGUGGAGAAGGAGCUCCUGUGGCAGAAGAAGGAUCACCAGCCGCCGAGGAAGGAGCAGCAGUGCCACAAGCAGCCGCCGAUACGGCAGUAGCGGCCAAUGGAGCUGUCCUUGAAGCAACACCGGAGGUACCAGCUACCGCUGUAGGCAGCAGCUCCAGAAGCGGUGGCCGCAGCGGAAGCAGCAGCCCCAACGACGAGCUUCGGGCAGCUUACCGGAAGGCGGAGAGGCUGCACCAGCAGAAGGCGGAGAAGGAGCUCCAGUGGCAGAAGGAUAAGGAUCACCAGCCGCUGAGGGAGGAGCAGCAGUGCCACAAACAACCGCCAGCAGAAAUUUAUCGUCAUCUAAGUGUGACCAGCUAAGGUUCAUUACAUGUCCUUCGAAAACUCUUUAUCAUCGCUUCGUGUACAGCAGGAGCUGGCCCGUUUCGAGUAUCUUGUCACCGAGGGCAGCAUAUCCGAUGUCCAGAAGAUGGCCGGUCUGCCGUGUCUGCAAUGGAGCUGUGCCUUAACGCCAGCGAUGGCUUCGGCCAUGAAGCCACCACCACCGCCGCCCUGUCCGGGUGCACCGCUCCGGCCACCGUGCAUGACUCCAGCAAUGAGUCCUGUGCCACCCAAGGUGAAGCUGCCAAAGAAGAACGUGCCGCAGCCCACGAAUCUAUAAAACAGCUUCAACUGGUCCAAGCUGCCGGAUGCCAAGCUCCAGGUCACCGUCUGGAGCGAGCUUGGCGAGAGCGAGUUGUAUAACAUGGAGUUGGAGUCGAGCCGAUACGGCAGUAACGGCCGAUGGAGCUGUCCCUCAAGAAGCACGGAGGUACCAGCUUCCGCUGUAGGCAGCAGCGGAAGCAGCAGCCCCUACGACGAAAGCGGCGGGCGGCGUACCGGAAAGCGGCAAGGCUGCACCUGCCCAAGGUGGAGAAGGAGCUCCUGUGGCAGAAGAAGGAUCACCAGCCGCCGA